UCCUUCCUCAUUAAAACGGUAAAAGUUCAAUGUGUUUGAAUAUUAAACUUUUUUCUCUCAAUAUUACCAUUAAUUAACUUUAUUAAUACAGUUCAUCUGAUCUUUCUAAAUUUUCUUCCUCUGCCAUCUGUUUUCACUUUUCCGGCUCGGCUCGCUGGUGGUUGCCCAAAAAGAAAGCUCGUUUCAAGAUCAGUGAAAGCCGAUCUUUAGUUUCUGCGUUUCAUGGUCCUGUCUUUAAUCUUCCGUGUCUUGAUGAGCGCUCCUCUUUCCACCAAUCUCUGCCAGCGCGGAAAGACAACGAAGUUCAGCUGAUCCUAGUUGAGCAAUUUGAGUCAUAGUUGAAAUGCUACUUCCAACAUUUAUAUUUUUGGUGAUUUUGCAGUAUUGGAAGCAACAUCUUGUACCAAAUUAAGAAGAAGAAAGAGAACAAAAGCACAAGUAGCAUUAAGCUUUGGUGGUAGAGAAGUUGUAACCACCCCAUUCUACAAUUUAUAAAAUAUUCAUUAAAAACUAACAUUUAUAUGACUCAAUUCUGUACAAAUAAUGAAGGCUUCUGUAAUUUUUUUAUUUCAUGAAAUAGUUGAAAAUCCAACGACUUGUUAAA